GGCAGCACAGAAGAGCUUGCUCUUUGGGUGGCGAGUGGCGGACGGGUGAGUAAUGUCUGGGAAACUGCCCGAUGGAGGGGGAUAACUACUGGAAACGGUAGCUAAUACCGCAUAACGUCGCAAGACCAAAGUGGGGGACCUUCGGGCCUCACACCAUCGGAUGUGCCCAGAUGGGAUUAGCUAGUAGGUGGGGUAAUGGCUCACCUAGGCGACGAUCCCUAGCUGGUCUGAGAGGAUGACCAGCCACACUGGAACUGAGACACGGUCCAGACUCCUACGGGAGGCAGCAGUGGGGAAUAUUGCACAAUGGGCGCAAGCCUGAUGCAGCCAUGCCGCGUGUAUGANGAAGGCCUUCGGGUUGUAAAGUACUUUCAGCGGGGAGGAAGGCGGUGAGGUUAAUAACCUUGCCGAUUGACGUUACCCGCAGAAGAAGCACCGGCUAACUCCGUGCCAGCAGCCGCGGUAAUACGGAGGGUGCAAGCGUUAAUCGGAAUUACUGGGCGUANAGCGCACGCAGGCGGUCUGUUAAGUCAGAUGUGAAAUCCCCGGGCUUAACCUGGGAACUGCAUUUGAAACUGGCAGGCUUGAGUCUCGUAGAGGGGGGUAGAAUUCCNGGUGUAGCGGUGAAAUGCGUA
rnacentral:rRNA from 1 species